rnacentral:rRNA from 1 species
UUAAGCGACUAAGCGUACACGGUGGAUGCCCUGGCAGUCAGAGGCGAUGAAGGACGUGCUAAUCUGCGAUAAGCGUCGGUAAGGUGAUAUGAACCGUUAUAACCGGCGAUUUCCGAAUGGGGAAACCCAGUGUGUUUCGACACACUAUCAUUAACUGAAUCCAUAGGUUAAUGAGGCGAACCGGGGGAACUGAAACAUCUAAGUACCCCGAGGAAAAGAAAUCAACCGAGAUUCCCCCAGUAGCGGCGAGCGAACGGGGAGCAGCCCAGAGCCUGAAUCAGUAUGUGUGUUAGUGGAAGCGUCUGGAAAGGCGCGCGAUACAGGGUGACAGCCCCGUACACAAAAAUGCACAUGCUGUGAGCUCGAUGAGUAGGGCGGGACACGUGGUAUCCUGUCUGAAUAUGGGGGGACCAUCCUCCAAGGCUAAAUACUCCUGACUGACCGAUAGUGAACCAGUACCGUGAGGGAAAGGCGAAAAGAACCCCGGCGAGGGGAGUGAAAAAGAACCUGAAACCGUGUACGUACAAGCAGUGGGAGCACGCUUAGGCGUGUGACUGCGUACCUUUUGUAUAAUGGGUCAGCGACUUAUAUUCUGUAGCAAGGUUAACCGAAUAGGGGAGCCGAAGGGAAACCGAGUCUUAACUGGGCGUUAAGUUGCAGGGUAUAGACCCGAAACCCGGUGAUCUAGCCAUGGGCAGGUUGAAGGUUGGGUAACACUAACUGGAGGACCGAACCGACUAAUGUUGAAAAAUUAGCGGAUGACUUGUGGCUGGGGGUGAAAGGCCAAUCAAACCGGGAGAUAGCUGGUUCUCCCCGAAAGCUAUUUAGGUAGCGCCUCGUGAAUUCAUCUCCGGGGGUAGAGCACUGUUUCGGCAAGGGGGUCAUCCCGACUUACCAACCCGAUGCAAACUGCGAAUACCGGAGAAUGUUAUCACGGGAGACACACGGCGGGUGCUAACGUCCGUCGUGAAGAGGGAAACAACCCAGACCGCCAGCUAAGGUCCCAAAGUCAUGGUUAAGUGGGAAACGAUGUGGGAAGGCCCAGACAGCCAGGAUGUUGGCUUAGAAGCAGCCAUCAUUUAAAGAAAGCGUAAUAGCUCACUGGUCGAGUCGGCCUGCGCGGAAGAUGUAACGGGGCUAAACCAUGCACCGAAGCUGCGGCAGCGACGCUGAUGCGUUGUUGGGUAGGGGAGCGUUCUGUAAGCCUGUGAAGGUGUGCUGUGAGGCAUGCUGGAGGUAUCAGAAGUGCGAAUGCUGACAUAAGUAACGAUAAAGCGGGUGAAAAGCCCGCUCGCCGGAAGACCAAGGGUUCCUGUCCAACGUUAAUCGGGGCAGGGUGAGUCGACCCCUAAGGCGAGGCCGAAAGGCGUAGUCGAUGGGAAACAGGUUAAUAUUCCUGUACUUGGUGUUACUGCGAAGGGGGGACGGAGAAGGCUAUGUUGGCCGGGCGACGGUUGUCCCGGUUUAAGCGUGUAGGCUGGUUUUCCAGGCAAAUCCGGAAAACUAAGGCUGAGGCGUGACGACGAGGCACUACGGUGCUGAAGCAACAAAUGCCCUGCUUCCAGGAAAAGCCUCUAAGCAUCAGGUAACAUCAAAUCGUACCCCAAACCGACACAGGUGGUCAGGUAGAGAAUACCAAGGCGCUUGAGAGAACUCGGGUGAAGGAACUAGGCAAAAUGGUGCCGUAACUUCGGGAGAAGGCACGCUGAUAUGUAGGUGAAGUCCCUCGCGGAUGGAGCUGAAAUCAGUCGAAGAUACCAGCUGGCUGCAACUGUUUAUUAAAAACACAGCACUGUGCAAACACGAAAGUGGACGUAUACGGUGUGACGCCUGCCCGGUGCCGGAAGGUUAAUUGAUGGGGUCAGCGCAAGCGAAGCUCUUGAUCGAAGCCCCGGUAAACGGCGGCCGUAACUAUAACGGUCCUAAGGUAGCGAAAUUCCUUGUCGGGUAAGUUCCGACCUGCACGAAUGGCGUAAUGAUGGCCAGGCUGUCUCCACCCGAGACUCAGUGAAAUUGAACUCGCUGUGAAGAUGCAGUGUACCCGCGGCAAGACGGAAAGACCCCGUGAACCUUUACUAUAGCUUGACACUGAACAUUGAGCCUUGAUGUGUAGGAUAGGUGGGAGGCUUUGAAGUGUGGACGCCAGUCUGCAUGGAGCCGACCUUGAAAUACCACCCUUUAAUGUUUGAUGUUCUAACGUUGACCCGUAAUCCGGGUUGCGGACAGUGUCUGGUGGGUAGUUUGACUGGGGCGGUCUCCUCCUAAAGAGUAACGGAGGAGCACGAAGGUUGGCUAAUCCUGGUCGGACAUCAGGAGGUUAGUGCAAUGGCAUAAGCCAGCUUGACUGCGAGCGUGACGGCGCGAGCAGGUGCGAAAGCAGGUCAUAGUGAUCCGGUGGUUCUGAAUGGAAGGGCCAUCGCUCAACGGAUAAAAGGUACUCCGGGGAUAACAGGCUGAUACCGCCCAAGAGUUCAUAUCGACGGCGGUGUUUGGCACCUCGAUGUCGGCUCAUCACAUCCUGGGGCUGAAGUAGGUCCCAAGGGUAUGGCUGUUCGCCAUUUAAAGUGGUACGCGAGCUGGGUUUAGAACGUCGUGAGACAGUUCGGUCCCUAUCUGCCGUGGGCGCUGGAGAACUGAGGGGGGCUGCUCCUAGUACGAGAGGACCGGAGUGGACGCAUCACUGGUGUUCGGGUUGUCAUGCCAAUGGCACUGCCCGGUAGCUAAAUGCGGAAGAGAUAAGUGCUGAAAGCAUCUAAGCACGAAACUUGCCCCGAGAUGAGUUCUCCCUGACUCCUUGAGAGUCCUGAAGGAACGUUGAAGACGACGACGUUGAUAGGCCGGGUGUGUAAGCGCAGCGAUGCGUUGAGCUAACCGGUACUAAUGAACCGUGAGGCUUAACCUU